GACGAACCGUGCGAACGUUGUUCGGAAUCACUGGGCUUAAAGGGCGCGUAGGCGGGCGGCCAAGUCAGGGGUGAAAGCCCCCAGCUCAACUGGGGAAGUGCCUUUGAUACUGGUCGUCUCGAGGGAGGUAGGGGCGUGCGGAACUUCCGGUGGAGCGGUGAAAUGCGUAGAUAUCGGAAGGAACACCAGUGGCGAAGGCGACUUCCUGGCCUGUUCUUGACGCUGAGGCGCGAAAGCUAGGGUAGCAAACGGG
rnacentral:rRNA from 1 species